AUUACCGCGCCUUUCUAAUUAUACGCAGGCCCGUCGAGAAGAGAGAGAGAGAGAGAGAGAGAGGGGGGAGUGAUCGGACGCGGCUCCGGAAGCCAUGAGCGGCGGCCGUUCGUAUCGCGAUCGCUUGCCACGCGUCAAGGUCGGAGAGGCUUGGCUUCUUCGGCUCGCCCACGAGGAAGAGCCUCGCUUCGGGCCCAGGAUUCCGUGGAAAUUGUCCCUCUGUUUAUUUGUUAGAAAGCCAAUGCAGAUGCAUGCGAAUUAUUUUAACUGGAGUAAGUCUGGCAGCUAAGCUCAGAAGCGAGAAAUCUGUUUGUUGGCUCUUACGUUGGUGCUCAAAGAAGUGGUACAACUCUUGAUCCCAGAAAUACUUGCUAUAUCACUGUCGGGCAGCUUCAGGAAUCUUGCUGUCUGCGAAUAUUACUCGAAGUCAUGUGGAAAAGAAGUAUUUAGUAAUUUCUCUGGUUGGUUUAUUUUAUGAAAAAUGUAGGAAUUCCAUUUUUGGUUGAGCACUUAAGUAAUUUUCUGGCCAGUUAACUUUAUGCAAAUUCAUAUGGCUCAAAGAUGUGGAAGCAUGUCCUGCUUGGCUAGUGGUGGGAUUAUGGAAAUCACAUGGCUAUUCAGUAUGCCAAAGCAAGGAGAUGAAACUGGCUUUGAAUGCCUUUGGAUAGGGAGGAAUCUUGUUCUGCGUGAUGAUGAUGUCUCACCUCAAGUCGGUCGAGUUACUACUGCUCUAGCAUUCUCUCUAAGAGCUGCUUCUGAGGUGAUGUUUUCUGAGGAUUAAGAAGCAACCGUUACCAUUUGUAAUACAAUAGCUGUUUAGAGGAUUGAAGAUACAUAUAAUUUGAUUCAUGGUGGUUGUAUCUUUUCUUUUUCUUUUUUGGUUGUUGGGGAUAGUUAGAAGCUUGGUUUUUGUGGAAUAAUCUUGUGUACUUCUUUCUUGAGACUAUUAAAUAUUAUGUUGAUUCUGGGUUUGUGAGGGCAUUAGUCCUGAUUUAGCCAUGC